UAUUCAUGUAACAGGAGGUGAUGAUAGUCGUAUUCAUGUAACAGGAGGUGAUGAUAGUCGUAUUCAUGUAACAGGAGGUGAUGAUAGUCGUAUUCAUGUAACAGGAGGUGAUGUUAGUCGUAUUCAUGUAACAGGAGGUGAUGUUAGUCGUAUUCAUGUAACAGGAGGUGAUGAUAGUCGUAUUCAUGUAACAGGAGGUGAUGAUAGUCGUAUUCAUGUAACAGGAGGUGAUGAUAGUCGUAUUCAUGUAACAGGAGGUGAUGUUAGUCGUAUUCAUGUAACAGGAGGUGAUGAUAGUCGUAUUCAUGUAACAGGAGGUGAUGAUAGUCGUAUUCAUGUAACAGGAGGUGAUGAUAGUCGUAUUCAUGUAACAGGAGGUGAUGAUAGUCGUAUUCAUGUAACAGGAGGUGAUGAUAGUCGUAUUCAUGUAACAGGAGGUGAUGAUAGUCGUAUUCAUGUAACAGGAGGUGAUGUUAGUCGUAUUCAUGUAACAGGAGGUGAUGAUAGUCGUAUUCAUGUAACAGGAGGUGAUGAUAGUCGUAUUCAUGUAACAGGAGGUGAUGUUAGUCGUAUUCAUGUAACAGGAGGUGGUGUUUAGUCAAGUGCAAAUAGAAUAGGCUAGACCUAGUAGA